rnacentral:rRNA from 1 species
UACGGAGGGGGCAAGCGUUGUUCGGAAUUACUGGGCGUAAAGGGCGCGCAGGCGGCUGCUCAAGUCAGGCGUGAAAGGCCUGGGCUCAACCCGGGAAUUGCGCUUGAGACUGGGCUGGCUUGAGUGCGGGAGAGGAUGGUGGAAUUCCCAGUGUAGAGGUGAAAUGCGUAGAUAUUGGGAGGAACACCAGUGGCGAAGGCGGCCACCUGGACCGGUUCUGACGCUGAUGCGCGAAAGCGUGGGGAGCAAACAGG